rnacentral:rRNA from 1 species
AUUGAACGCUGGCGGCAGGCCUAACACAUGCAAGUCGAGCGGAGCGGCGGACGGGUGAGUAAUGCCUAGGAAUCUGCAUGGUAGUGGGGGACAACGUCCGGAAAGGGGCGCUAAUACCGCAUACUAUAAGAGCAGCCUAGGUGGGAUUAGCUAGUUGGUGGGGUAAAGGCUUAGCAAGGUGACGCUCCGUAACUGGUCUGAGAUGAUGAUCAGUCACACUGGAACUGAGACACGGUCCAGACUCCUACGGGAGGCAGCAGUGGGGAAUCUUCGGCAAUGGACGCAAGUCUGAUCCAGCCAUGCCGCGUGUGUGAAGAAGGUCUUCGGAUCGUAAAGCACUGUUGUUUGAGAGGCGUUACCAACAGAGUAAGCCCCGGCUAACUUCGUGCCAGCAGCCGCGGUAAUAC